rnacentral:rRNA from 1 species
GACGAACGCUGGCGGCAUGCCUAAUACAUGCAAGUAGAACGCAGUUGCGAACGGGUGAGUACCGCGUAGGUAACUGCCUCAUAGCGGCGAAUAACUAUUGGAAACGAUAGCUAAUACCGCAUACUGUGCGUUGGACCUGAGUUGUAUGCGCUAGUUGGUGAGGUAAAGGCUCACCAAGGCGACGAUACAUAGCCGACCUGAGAGUGUGAUCUGCCACACGUGGACGGGGACACGGCCCAAACUCCUACGGGAGGCAGCAGUAAGUAAUCUGCGGCAAUGGACGGAAGUCUGAUCGAGCAACGCCGCGGGAGUUGAGAAGGUUUUCGGGUCGGAAAGCUCUGGUGUUAGAGAAUCGGUAACUAACCAGAAAGGGACGGCUAACUACGUGCCAGCCGCCGCGGUAAUAC